UACGUAGGUGGCAAGCGUUGUCCGGAUUUACUGGGCGUAAAGAGCGCGCAGGCGGUCGUCCAAGUCGCGUGUGAAAGCCCCCGGCUCAACUGGGGAGGGUCACGCGAUACUGGUCGACUCGAAGGCAGGAGAGGGUAGUGGAAUUCCCGGUGUAGUGGUGAAAUGCGUAGAUAUCAGGAAGAACACCCGUGGCGAAGGCGGUUCUCUGGGACGGUACUGACGCUGAGGAGCGAAAGCGUGGGGAGCGAACAGG
rnacentral:rRNA from 1 species